UAUCUCUGUAGAGUCUGCAUAUCAAUAAGCGGAGGAAAAGAAACUAACUAGGAUUCCCUCAGUAACGGCGAGUGAAGCGGGAAGAGCUCAAAUUUGAAAUCUUCAAGGUUCUACCUUGACGAAUUGUAGUUUAAAGAAGUGUUUUCUGUUGGAGUUUUGGUAAAAGUUCUUUGGAAUAGGACAUCAUAGAGGGUGAGAAUCCCGUAUUUGACCAUUAUUUCCAGCUUUGUGAUACACUUUCAAAGAGUCGGAUUGUUUGGGAAUGCAGGUCCAAAAUGGGUGGUAAAUUUCAUCUAAAGCUAAAUAUUGGCGAGAGACCGAUAGCGAACAAGUACCGUGAGGGAAAGAUGAAAAGAACUUUGAAAAGAGAGUUAAACAGUACGUGAAAUUGUCAAAAGGGAAGCGCUUUGACACCAGUGUUGUUUUUCCUGAAAAUCAAUUAAAGAACUGUUUAUGCUAAGCUUGUUUAGACUUUAUCAGCUAACUGUUUAGUUUUGAGCUUUUCUUUAAUGCACUUUUCAGUUAACAAGUCAACAUCAAUUUCUUUUGCUGUAAAAAAGCUUGAGGAAGGUGGCUUGAGAUUCGUCUUAAGUGUUUAUAGCCUCUCGCCUAUGCAGUCGGAGAGAUUGAGGUCUGCAGCGUAGAUCCUUCGGGGCUAAAUGCAUUUGUGCUAAGUUAUAGCAUUUUAUAGACAACUUGUUGACUAUGAUUUGUCUUGUAGCUUACUCGCUUAUGUUAUUUUACCUACGCUUAGGAUGUUGACGAUCAGCUGAGCGCG
rnacentral:rRNA from 1 species